rnacentral:rRNA from 1 species
UCCGGUGGCUAUUGCGUGGAGGACACACCCGAUCCCAUCCCGAACUCGGAAGUUAAGCUCCACAGCGCCGAUGGUACUGCACGGGAAGCUGUGUGGGAGAGUAGGUCGUUGCCGGGA